rnacentral:misc_RNA from 1 species
CAAAUCCAUCCACGUCUCAAUUUUGAGAACCACGUUGAAAUGUUCCCCAGUCAAGCGCGUCCGCGUGAUAUGACUGGGCUGUUAAACUAGUGUAUCUUGUUGCUCAAUUGUAUAAGUCCUCGAGGGUUCACUCUCUCCAGGAUGACAAAACUUGUA